CUACGGUGAUGAUUUUAAAAACUGAGCUCUCUCUUGCUGAUGUGUUAGUGGAGAAAGCGUAAAAAUUCUGAGUAGU
rnacentral:snoRNA from 13 species